GUAACAAUUUAGAAACAAGCUGCAGGGAUAAUUGGUUGUGCCAGCUACAAUCUCACCUUACUAGUCAGCUCUUUCUAUCAUACCGAAGCAGAAUCCGGUAAGCGUUGAAUUGUUCAAUCACUAAUAGGGAACACAAGCUGGUCCAGACUGUUUUGAGACAGGUUUGUUUUACCCUACUGAUGGAGGGUCAUUAUAAUGGUAGUUGAUUGUUGUUCAUUCAGAUAUUUAGUAUUUACACCUGUCUGAGUGAGAAUGGCACAAAGCUGUCAUCUGCUGGAUUAUGGCUGAAUGCCUCUAAGCCAGAAUCCAUGCCAGAAACAAUGAUGUUAGUCUAACACAUGUGAGUUGUGUUGAAAUAGAGCUUUGGCUUGUGUACUACAUCAGGCAGACUUGGUGGGCUUUGUGGAAAGACAGAGUUCACUUGUUUAUGAAUUGUAAUCACAAUAUAGGUAGGGGUAAAUCCUUUACAGACAACCUGAAUGGGAACAGAGGUAUUGUAAGUAGUAGAGCAGCCUUGUUGCCACAAUCUGUUAAGGUUAAGCUCUUAUUCUAAAGAUAU
rnacentral:ncRNA from 1 species